CUGCUGGUGCAUACUCAGAACCUGAGUACUUAAACUUCUGUGGUUGCUUUCCUGUUAGCUGAAUUUUAGUCUAUGGGGGUCCACUAACAGUGAUUCCCACAAAGUCCACUGGGCAGCGAUAUGAGGGAUUAGGCGAUCCUUGAGGGAUCCUGGACCCCAAUUCUCAAGGCCUUGUAAGUUAAUAUAAGAACCUUGAAUCUGGCUGUGUGUGUUGGCAUCGCCAGGCAAGUAGAGCAGGUGUAACUCACAUUUUCUGGUUAUGCCCUAAAAUAAAAAUAUUUUGGAAAAAGGUGGUUAUCUUUCAGCCAGAGGGCCAGAUCCAGAAGUGGCCAGCCCUCUGUGGAUCACACGGGGCAGUCAGUUACCUGAGAUCAUAUGAUUUCAGGCACAGGAAAGGUAAAGCUGCAGCUGUAAAGAAACAUUUGCAGAGUGUGCUGUUUGCAUUUGGCAGCUUUCUCUGCUGUGCUAUUUUCAGGAGGGACCAGAUCAAAAGGAUCAGGAGCUCCUGUAUCUGGUCCCUGCCAAAAGCAGCAUGGUGGGUUAAGGUGCCAGAUUCAAGAAGUGCCAAGGGUACAGCCGUGGAUGCAAAUGAACCACCAGGAGUGCUCCUGACUACUCAGGACACAGAAAAAGAACAAGUGGAAGUUUGCCAAAAGCAGUGGCCCAAG